CGCCGCCCGGCUGCUCAUCAGCAAGAAGCGCGUGCUCGUGAGGACGAUCCCCAUCCAUAGUUCACGAAGGGCUGCCAGACUGCUUGCGCGCUUGGCCGUCGGCAAGGAGGGUAUACAUACAUCUUCAUCUCCAUCUGAGAGGACUAGCAAACAACAGGAGAUGUCAUCGUCCACGACAUCCAUGGGCUGGCUGACGACUGGAUGACGCGGCUGCCGAGUGUACACUGGCGGACGUUAAAGCCUGGAAGAUGAGCUCGGUACGACCACCCUCUGUGCGUGCGUAUAGCUGUCGGCCAAGUUACGACGGCGGCGGCGAGGCACAUGCCAUACGUACACCGUUAGCAUAUGUAUAUGUGCAACGAUUCAGAAGACAUGCAAGUGCAAGAAGCAAACACGUUCGAGCGGGUGUAUGUGUGGAUAUAUAUGUUCUGGCCAUGCAUGCAUCUACACAUGUACGUGCAAGCAAAGAACAGGUACAGGCUGCCAGGACCUCGGCGCCGUGAUGUGGUUGUGUACAUGUACAUGCGCACAUAUACAAGCUAUGCAUCCACGUACGAUGAAGAUUCAAGCAAGGCGACGUACAAGCCUUCAUCCACUACUUCAACAACUCCACGCGAUCAAGCUCAUGACGUACCACGACGACGCUGCCGAGGAAGUCCGAGGCGAUUCAAGCGACACCAACCAUGCAAGUGCGAUUAUGAUGACACCACGCAGAGUUCGACACCGACAAGGCGAACGACGCAGGCGGGCAUGGCUGAUAUUCCAGUCAUGUUGUACCGGCUCAUGGACCGACGAGGCCCUCACGCCAACGCCACCUACAUCUACACCAACACCACGCAUGGAGAAGUGAAGCGAAGAUCGACGACGACGACCACAGCAGCUUAAUCGGAGGUACUCUGCGAGUCAGCUCGCGGGGGUAAUUAACUGGGAGCCUUCCGAGGCCUUAGGAACCAUGAAGACCACAUCGCCUUUGUCAGAUUGCUGCUAGCAAGUUGUGUAGCGCGCAUUAGGAAUUUGUAUUUAUUAAACCUGAUGGUUAAUAAAAGUGCAUGUUCCU